AUUCAGCCCCGAUCAUAGCGGCAUCCCCCGAUGUAUUCGGGGAUAUAGCGGAGAGCGGGAUCGUGU
rnacentral:sRNA from 1 species